rnacentral:rRNA from 1 species
AGACGAAGGUGGCGAGCGUUACUCGGAAUUACUAGGCGUAAAGCGUGGGCAGGUGGCCCGCCAAGUCUGUUGUGAAAGCUCCCGGCUUAACUGGGAGAGGCCAAUGGAAACUGGUGGGCUUGAAUGUGGGAGAGGUGACUGGAAUUCCUGGUGUAGCGGUGAAAUGCGUUGAUAUCAGGAGGAACACCUAUGGCGAAAGCAUGUCACUGGACCACUAUUGACACUCAUCCACGAAAGCUAGGGGAUCAAACAGGAGUAGAAACCCCGGUAGUCC